rnacentral:rRNA from 1 species
AACGAACGCUGGCGGCAUGCCUAACACAUGCAAGUCGAACGAAGGCUUCGGCCUUAGUGGCGCACGGGUGCGUAACGCGUGGGAACCUGCCCUUAGGUUCGGAAUAACAGUUAGAAAUGACUGCUAAUACCGGAUAAUGUCUUCGGACCAAAGAUUUAUCGCCUUUGGAUGGGCCCGCGUAAGAUUAGGUAGUUGGUGGGGUAAAGGCCUACCAAGCCGACGAUCGUUAGCUGGUCUGAGAGGAUGAUCAGCCACACUGGGACUGAGACACGGCCCAGACUGCUACGGGAGGCAGCAGUGGGGAAUAUUGGACAAUGGGCGAAAGCCUGAUCCAGCAAUGCCGCGUGAGUGAUGAAGGCCUUAGGGUUGUAAAGCUCUUUUACCAGGGAUGAUAAUGACAGUAACUGGGGAAUAAGCCCCGGCUAACUCCGUGCCAGCCGCCGCAGUAAGAC